rnacentral:tRNA from 1 species
GGGGAAUUAGCUCAAAUGGUAGAGCGCUCGCUUAGCAUGUGAGAGGUACCGGGAUCGAUGCCCGGAUUCUCCA